rnacentral:rRNA from 1 species
AGCUUGCUACCUGACCUAGCGGCGGACGGGUGAGUAAUGCUUAGGAAUCUGCCUAUUAGUGGGGGACAACAUUCCGAAAGGAAUGCUAAUACCGCAUACGCCCUACGGGGGAAAGCAGGGGAUCUUCGGACCUUGCGCUAAUAGAUGAGCCUAAGUCAGAUUAGCUAGUUGGUGGGGUAAAGGCCUACCAAGGCGACGACCUGUAGCGGGUCUGAGAGGAUGAUCCGCCACACUGGGACUGAGACACGGCCCAGACUCCUACGGGAGGCAGCAGUGGGGAAUAUUGGACAAUGGGCGAAAGCCUGAUCCAGCCAUGCCGCGUGUGUGAAGAAGGCCUUUUGGUUGUAAAGCACUUUAAGCGAGGAGGAGGCUACUUGGAUUAAUACUCUAGGAUAGUGGACGUUACUCGCAGAAUAAGCACCGGCUAACUCUGUGCCAGCAGCCGCGGUAAUACAGAGGGUGCGAGCGUUAAUCGGAUUUACUGGGCGUAAAGCGUGCGUAGGCGGCUUCUUAAGUCGGAUGUGAAAUCCCUGAGCUUAACUUAGGAAUUGCAUUCGAUACUGGGAAGCUAGAGUAUGGGAGAGGAUGGUAGAAUUCCAGGUGUAGCGGUGAAAUGCGUAGAGAUCUGGAGGAAUACCGAUGGCGAAGGCAGCCAUCUGGCCUAAUACUGACGCUGAGGUACGAAAGCAUGGGGAGCAAACAGGAUUAGAUACCCUGGUAGUCCAUGCCGUAAACGAUGUCUACUAGCCGUUGGGGCCUUUGAGGCUUUAGUGGCGCAGCUAACGCGAUAAGUAGACCGCCUGGGGAGUACGGUCGCAAGACUAAAACUCAAAUGAAUUGACGGGGGCCCGCACAAGCGGUGGAGCAUGUGGUUUAAUUCGAUGCAACGCGAAGAACCUUACCUGGUCUUGACAUAGUAAGAACUUUCCAGAGAUGGAUUGGUGCCUUCGGGAACUUACAUACAGGUGCUGCAUGGCUGUCGUCAGCUCGUGUCGUGAGAUGUUGGGUUAAGUCCCGCAACGAGCGCAACCCUUUUCCUUAUUUGCCAGCGAGUAAUGUCGGGAACUUUAAGGAUACUGCCAGUGACAAACUGGAGGAAGGCGGGGACGACGUCAAGUCAUCAUGGCCCUUACGACCAGGGCUACACACGUGCUACAAUGGUCGGUACAAGGGGUUGCUACCUAGCGAUAGGAUGCUAAUCUCAAAAAGCCGAUCGUAGUCCGGAUUGGAGUCUGCAACUCGACUCCAUGAGGUCG